rnacentral:rRNA from 1 species
CCUACGGGAGGCAGCAGUGGGGAAUUUUGCGCAAUGCUCGCAAGAGUGACGCAGCGACGCCGCGUGAAUGACGAAGGCCUUCGGGUCGUAAAGUUCUUUCGACAGGGAGGAAAAUGCCUAUAAGUAACUGUGUAUGUAUUGACGGUACCUGUAUAAGCAGCCCCGGCUAACUCCGUGCCAGCAGCCGCGGUAAUACGGAGGGUGCGAGCGUUGUUCGGAGUGACUGGGCGUAAAGAGCACGUAGGCGGUGUUGUAAGUCAGUAGUGAAAUCCUAGGGCUCAACUUUAGUAAGGCUAGUGAUACUAUACUACUAGAGUAUCAGAGAGGUGUGCAGAAUUCCAGGUGUAGCGGUGAAAUGCGUAGAGAUCAGGAGGAAUACCGUUAGCGAAGGCGGCCAUCUGGCUGAAAACUGACGCUGAGGUGCGAAAGCGUGGGUAGCAAACAGGAUUAGAUACCCCUGUAGUC